AUCGAACGCUAGCGGGGUGCUUUACACAUGCAAGUCGAACGAGUGGCGGACGGGUGAGGAAUAAUUCGGAACGUGCCCAGUAUCCGUGGUUAACUACUCGAUAGAGAGGCUAAUUACGCAUGCUAUUGGAGCGGCCGAUAGCGGCGUAGCUAGUUGUUGUGUUAAAGGCGCACCAAGGCAACGAUGCGGAGGUGGUUUGAGCGGACGAGCAGCCACACUGGGACUUAGACACGGCCCAGAGUCCUACGCGAGGCAGCAGUGGGGAAUUGUGGACAAUGGGGGAAACCGUGAUACAGCCAUCCCGCGUGUAUGAGAAGGCCUUCGGGUUGUAAAGUACUAUUGGUAGAGCAGCGGUAGCUGCAGAAUAAGCACCGGCUAACUACGUGCCAGCAGCCGCGGUAAUAC
rnacentral:rRNA from 1 species